UAUGAAGGGGGCUAGCGUUGCUCGGAAUCACUGGGCGUAAAGCGCACGUAGGCGGAUUGCUAAGUCAGGGGUGAAAUCCUGGAGCUCAACUCCAGAACUGCCUUUGAUACUGGCGAUCUUGAGUCCGGGAGAGGUGAGUGGAACUGCGAGUGUAGAGGUGAAAUUCGUAGAUAUUCGCAAGAACACCCGUGGCGAAGGCGGUUCUCUGGGACGGUACUGACGCUGAGACGCGAAAGCGUGGGGAGCGAACAGG
rnacentral:rRNA from 1 species